rnacentral:lncRNA from 1 species
CUGGUAUGUGAAUGAUGUGUAUUUCAAGUACUUUAAUUCUUUAUGGGGUCCGUUCGAUUGUGAUGUUUUUGCCGACUAUAACAAUCACAAAUUACCCAUUUUCUUUUCGGCGUAUUGGUGUCCAGAUACAAGUGGUGUUGAUGCUUUCGGGUUUUCGUGGAAUACUUAUAACUGUUGGUUAGUUCCUCCCGUUCACCUUGUAGGUAGAGCAUUAAAUCAUAUGUUAAUUUGUAAAGGAAAGGGUACUAUCGUUGUUCCGAAAUGGACUUCGUCAUGUUUUUGGCCUAUAUUGUGGUCAUCAUCGAGCAACCAAUACAAAUCUUUUGUAAAGGAUUUUGUAGAGUAUGUUAAACCAUCUGGAUUUUUUUGUCAAGGUUCGGAUAAAAACAGCAUUUUCAUUCAUUCUCCAUUAACUUUCAACGUUCUCGUAUUAAAGAUUGAUUGUAGUUAAUCCGUAAGUAUAUCACUCAAUAUCCAUUUAUAUAUUUAUUUAUUUUUUAUUAGUUUUAUUUGUAUUUUUUGUCGGUGUUAUACUAGUAGUUUGAGACCAAUCCCGUUUUGGCAUA